GACGAACGCUGGCGGCGUGCUUAACACAUGCAAGUCGAGCGGAGCGGCGAACGGGUGAGUAACGCGUGAGUAACUGCCCCCCUCUCUGGGAUAACAGUUGGAAACGGCUGCUAAUACCGGAUAGUGGGGGUUGGCUCGCGUCAUAUCCGCGUGUUGGUGGGGUAGUGGCCUACCAAGGCGACGCCGGGUAGCCGGCCGGAGAGGGCGCCCGGCCACAUGGGGCUGAGAUACGGCCAAAAAUCUGACGGGAGGCAGCAGUGGGGAAUAUUGAGCAAGGGGGGAAAACCUGAUGCAGCAACGCCGCGUGCGGGAUGACGGCAUGCGGGUUGUAAACCGCUUUCAGCCAUGACGCGGUAGUGGCAGAAGAAGCACCGGCGAACUACGUGCCAGCCGCCGCGGUAAUUC
rnacentral:rRNA from 1 species